rnacentral:rRNA from 1 species
GACGAACGCUGGCGGCGUGCCUAAUACAUGCAAGUCGAACGCUGAAGGAGGAGCUUGCUUCUCUGGAUGAGUUGCGAACGGGUGAGUAACGCGUAGGUAACCUGCCUGUUAGCGGGGGAUAACUCUUGGAAACGAUAGCUAAUACCGCAUAAGAGUAGAUGUUGCAUGACAUUUGCUUAAAAGGUGCAAUUGCAUCACUACCAGAUGGACCUGCGUUGUAUUAGCUAGUUGGUGGGGUAACGGCUCACCAAGGCGACGAUACAUAGCCGACCUGAGAGGGGGGUCGGCCACACUGGGACUGAGACACGGCCCAGAACCCCACGGGAGGCAGCAGUAGGGAAUCUUCGGCAAUGGACGGAAGUCUGACCGAGCAACGCCGCGGGAGUGAAGAAGGUUUUCGGGUCGUAAAGCUCGGUUGUAAGGGAAGAACGAGUGUGAGAGUGGAAAGUUCACACUGUGACGGUAUCUUACCAGAAAGGGACGGCUAACUACGUG